GCAGUGCCUUGCAGAGCACACGUCACCUACGUGACAGACUCAUGAGAGGAAGUCCAGACAGAACAUCUGCCUCCCUGUGAUCCACCACUUCCCCCUGAUACUCAGCCUUGUGUCCUUUUCUCUUUUCCUCACUUCUCUCUGUAUGUCCUUGAUCUUUCAGCGUGUCAAACCCUCAACUAACCACAAGAUUACAACAUGGCACUUUUCUACAGCUGAGAUGGAUGGAUGUUGGCUGAGAAGUGAGAUUUGAGGUGACCAAACAGCCAUAGGACAGUUUUCAUUACAGUUACAUUCCAGAGAUGGGAGUCUUCCUGUGUCUGGCCUUUGUCACCUCCUGUGAGCCAAGAAGAGCUUGAAAAGGAAAUGAAGGAUCUUCUUCUUGCCACCUUAAUAUCACCGGUCAUAAUCACUUUUGUCCUAAGUGGACAACAAGCAGACAUCCGUGGAAGAAUAAGGACCCAGAUGCUCAAGCCAGAUGGUGAAGCCGCAGUCCUAACCACAUGCACCAAAAAUACAUUAAAAUAAGAUGAGACGAAGACACACUUCAGCACGCAGUACCUGAGAGUGAAAGAGUGAAGCUGUUAUAUACACACUGACUGUAAUCACACCUCACUCUUCCUUCAUAAACCCUUCUGUUUCGAGGUGAAAACUGAGCCCGAAAGCUUAAGGAUUGCCCUGAUCCACUGAGUCAUAUGACUGGAUUGAGGCUGUGCUGCUAAUUAGUGAAUGAAGCUGAAAAUAAAUCUGUGAGUUGGUGCAAAGAUGAAAACUUUACUCGUCUUGCAUCAGUCAUCUUGUUUCACUGCCUGUAAAAGGCACUGUAUGGGAUAACUUCAAUCUGUAUGUCAAAGCUCUGUGUCUAUAUGUUUAUGUGUCUGUGAUUUCUGGCUACCGCAAUCCUAAUUGUAUGUCUACCCAUCUACAUCUUUCUCUCUUUCUUACUCUGUCAAAGACAUACUUUAUCAGUCUGUCUGUCUGUCUGUCUGUCUGUCUGUCUGUCUGUCUGUCUGUCUGUCUGUCUGUCUGUGUGUCUGUCUGUCUGAUUAUAACAGUCUGCUUUCUUAUUGUUUCUGUGCAUGUCUAGCUGAAUGUCUAUCAGGCUGAGCUGUACCUCUCUCUGUUUUUUCACCAAAUAUGUAUAUGUCUGUCAAAAAUGUUCUGUCAGUCUGUCUACCUGUACAUCACUUGUGUACAUCACUUGAUGUACAUCUGUAUGUCUGGCUUUGCAUCCAUCUGACUGGAAGUCUGCUUUCAGUUUGUCUGUCUGUCAAAUCCUCACAUAUAUCUUUUCACCUGUACUUAAGGCUGUCUAUCAUUCUAUCCGUCUAUGUACAUAUCUAUAUAUCUAGCAAUCUGCCCUGUCUACAGUUCUAAUCAAUCUGUCUGCCUGUCAGUCAGACUGCUGUGUCUCUUUGUCUGUCUAUCUCUCCAUCUACCUAUCUGGUUGUAUGUAUGUCUGUCUUUCUGUCCAUUUAUCUGUGUUAAAAGGUGUUUCAUUGUGAGAGCUCAUCACUGGUAAAUGUUCCUAUGUGGUCAGUGUGAGAUAGUGUGGAUUAGGUGGUAUUUAGUGGAUGUUUAUUCAUGCAAUCAAUAAAGUAAGCUAACUGAGAUGAAACCGAGCGACCAGCGAUGAUGAAUGGAGUUUCACACUUAAUCCCUUCUUGCAGGCUCGGGCUGCUUUAAUCGGUUUACCCAGGAGAUUGAGG